GACGAACGCUGGCGGCGUGCUUAACACAUGCAAGUCGAACGGUAAGGCCCUUCGGGGUACACGAGUGGCGAACGGGUGAGUAACACGUGGGUGAUCUGCCCUGCACUUCGGGAUAAGCCUGGGAAAAUGGGUCUAAUACCGGAUAGGACCACUGCCUGCAUGGGUGGUGGUGGAAAGCUUUUGCGGUGUGGGAUGGGCCCGCGGCCUAUCAGCUUGUUGGUGGGGUGAUGGCCGACCAAGGCGACGACGUGUAGCCGGCCUGAGAGGGUGACCGGCCACACUGGGACUGAGAUACGGCCCAGACUCCUACGGGAGGCAGCAGUGGGGAAUAUUGCACAAUGGGCGCAAGCCUGAUGCAGCGACGCCGCGUGAGGGAUGACGGCCUUCGGGUUGUAAACCUCUUUCAGCACCGACGAAGCGCAAGUGACGGUAGGUGCAGAAGAAGGACCGGCCAACUACGUGCCAGCCGCCGCGGUAA
rnacentral:rRNA from 1 species